GUCGGCGACCAUACCAUAUUGUAAAAACUGGUUCUCAUCCGAUCACCGGAGCUAAGCAACGUUGGGCCCGGUUAGUACUUGCAUGAGUGACCGGGUGUUGGUGCCU
rnacentral:rRNA from 1 species